UACGUAGGGUGCAAGCGUUGUUCGGAAUUAUUGGGCGUAAAGAGCUCGUAGGCGGUCUGUCGCGUCGGCUGUGAAAACCCGGGGCUCAACCCCGGGCCUGCAGUCGAUACGGGCAGACUAGAGUGCGGUAGGGGAGACUGGAAUUCCUGGUGUAGCGGUGAAAUGCGCAGAUAUCAGGAGGAACACCGGUGGCGAAGGCGGGUCUCUGGGCCGUAACUGACGCUGAGGAGCGAAAGCGUGGGGAGCGAACAGG
rnacentral:rRNA from 1 species